GACGAACGCUGGCGGCGUGCUUAACACAUGCAAGUCGAACGGAAAGGCCCUGCUUUUGUGGGGUGCUCGAGUGGCGAACGGGUGAGUAACACGUGAGUAACCUGCCCUUGACUUUGGGAUAACUUCAGGAAACUGGGGCUAAUACCGGAUAGGAGCUCCUGCUGCAUGGUGGGGGUUGGAAAGUUUCGGCGGUUGGGGAUGGACUCGCGGCUUAUCAGCUUGUUGGUGGGGUAGUGGCUUACAAAGGCUUUGACGGGUAGCCGGCCUGGGAGGGUGACCGGCACAAUGGGACUGGGGUACCGCCCAGACUUCUACCGGGGGGAAGAGGUGGGGAUAAUGCCCCAUGGGCCGAAGGCUUAUUCAGCAACCCCCGCGUCCGGAUGAAGGGCCUUCGGGUGGAAACCGGCUUUCGCUUGUGCCGAGGCGUGGGUGCGGUAAUUGGGAAAGAAGCACCGGCUAACUACGUG
rnacentral:rRNA from 1 species